GGUUAAGCGACCAAGCGUACACGGUGGAUGCCCUGGCAGUCAGAGGCGAUGAAGGACGUGCUAAUCUGCGAUAAGCGCCGGUAAGGUGAUAUGAACCGUUAUAACCGGCGAUUUCCGAAUGGGGAAACCCAGUGUGACUCGUCACACUAUCAUUAACUGAAUCCAUAGGUUAAUGAGGCGAACCGGGGGAACUGAAACAUCUAAGUACCCCGAGGAAAAGAAAUCAACCGAGAUUCCCCCAGUAGCGGCGAGCGAACGGGGAGGAGCCCAGAGCCUGAAUCAGCAU
rnacentral:rRNA from 1 species